AAAGAAGCCGGUGGAAAAAGUGCCGGGAAGUGGGCACACGCGCGCGGCGCGUGGAGGACAGCGGCGGCGCGUGCGGCUGUUUCCGGCAACGAAAUUUGCAGGAAAUGUGCGCCUGACACUGUGUGUCACGAUGGUGUGGGAGGUGAGUCAAAGAAACCCCCGAGGGAUGUCGAAACACUGUCGGAACAGUGUUCCAGGCAGUGGGGUAAGGGGGGCGAAGGUGGGGUAGGGGUACUUACCUGGUGGUUACCUGGAGGUUCCGGCGACUCGCCAGAUGGUGGUGGUGGAGCUGAUGGUGUGUGCUUGGGGAAGGGAUCGAAGAGAGAGAGAGA
rnacentral:lncRNA from 1 species